CUCAUAACAACAGUACUUUGGUGAACAUUUGUUCUUUGGGUGGAAAGCGAGCUCCAGUAGCAGACCCCAUUUGCCAUCAUUACACUUCAUCACUUUUAAUACUCAACACUUUCAGCACUGCUUUGCUGUGCCAUGCAAUGCUUGCAAGAAGUUCACCAUCCAGGUUGUAGGUUCUGCCAUUCAGCUAAUGCCAUGUCCUGGACAGGGACUAAAUGACCAGAAGUAUGUCCUAGAUUUGGCUGUUUUACUGAUGUUGUCAGUAUUCUCCUGCAGGUACCUGGCAUUACUGCCACCACCACGGCCAGAACGUAUCCAGUACGUGGCACAUCUGUGUGCGCUCCAGCACACACCCAAUGCACUCACAGCAUGGACUUCUUCAAUAGACACGGUGUGCGCAAGCACGACUAAGGAGCAAUUCACAGCCUACUGAAGUAAACAGAACGGAUCCAACUGAUUCCACUGAGCUUCAGAAAUGCUGCCAGAAUAACAAUCAAGACUGGAAAACGAAGUUUUCAAAUACUUUCACACUACAAAUACUUUCUGUUGCCAAGAUCCCAAGGUUUUUGUUGUUGUUUUUUGUUUGAUUGUUUGUUUUUAAUGAAUCUCAGUUCCCCGUGAACUGCUCCAAAAAGUCAGCUCACCUAUUGCUAAAAGACCCUGUCCACCCACCCAUUCCCUCACUCAUGGCAGGAGAUUGGGAUGAUUCGUGAGCCCUUUCCAUACACAGCUAGACUCUUCUUCCUUUGCCUGACCACAAGGGCAAUAAAGCAAGGCAUGCUUUUUCAAGAAUUAGAAACAAAUUCUUCUCUAGAUUCUGAGUACAGUAUUAGUGCCAGAUGUAUUCGUUUCUGGACUGGUUAGGAGAUAUUCCUCCUGACCACACCUUCUCCUCCGAAGUGGCGACUGGCACACUGACCUAUCUAAUGAAGAAAUCUUGACAAGUGCAUCCCAUGUCUCCCUUGAUUUAGAGACACUGAGAAAGGAAUUUCAAACACUUACAACAAAAUGUGUGUAGAACUGCCAUAAGAAAACACGUGUCCAGGCAAAUACCUGUCAGAUCGCCCUCCUUCCAAGCUGUACCUCAGGUAGUUCAUACCAUCCAAGAACUGGCUGCUUGGUAAAGAGUCAUCUCCGAGUUCUUUGAGGUCUUCUGGCCUAAGGUACUCUCCUCCAUCUCCUGUCAUUGUAUCAUCACCU